AACCGCAGAAAACGCUGGAGAGAGAGAGAGAGAGAGAGAGAGAGAGAGAGAGAGAGAGAGAGGAGGAGGAGGAAGAGAAAACGGUAACUAAAAACAUAAUCGCUACUGGAAACACAUUAAGAUUACAUGGACGGGAAGCAGACUGGUGGAAAACAGAUAGACAGAUACAGGAAAAAAAAACACAACGCGCGCGAGAGUGAAAGGGAGAGGAGGAGAAACAAGGACCAGUUCAUAACAUAAUCGCUACUGGAAACACAUUAAGAUUACAUGGACAGGAAGCAGACAGGUGGAAAACAGAUAGACAGAUAGACAAAGAAACAGACAGAACCACAGAAAACGCGAGAGAGAGAAAGGGAGAGGAGGAGAAACCGGGACCAGUUCAAAACAUAAUCGCUACUGGAAACACCCUAAGAAGAUUACAUGGACAGGACAGAAAGCAGACAGGAAGGAGACAGGAAAGCAUACGGACAGAAUAGACGAAGGAAGAUGCAGUCGAGUAGCGGGCUUUUUUUAUUAUUAUUAUUGUUUCCUUUUUUUGUGCCCUUGAGCUGUCUCCUUUGUAAGAGAGAUUAAGAGGAGGAAAGAAAAAUACGGAGAAGGAAACGAAAAGAGAGGAAAAACGAAAGGAAGACAGAUAAGCCAAAAAAACCGAUGAAAUAAUAAAAGAAAAAAAACUAAGGGAAAGGGAGAUAAAAGGGACACAGAAGAGGCGGGAAAAUAAACAAAGGAAAUACUGAAUAAAAGAGGCAAUGAGAGAGAGAGAAAAAAACAGGUGUAUAGGUAUAAUCAGACAGGUACAUAAUUACAAAGGUGAGAUAAUAAGUUUGACAGAUUUGAACAGGUAGAUAGACACGCAAUAUGAUGAGAAAAAAAACAGGUGUAGGCCUAUAGGUAAUGAGACGGUAUCAGGUAAUGACGUAUAAUUAGAGACAGGUACAUAUUAUAAGGGUGAGAUAAUGAGUUAGACAGAUAUUUAAACAGGUAGAGACAGGGAAUAUGACAAUGAUAUCGAUAGGUAGUUGUUAAUUUCACAAUCAACACGCACCCUCAUCACCACCAUCACCAUUAUCAUCACCAAGGACACUACACCAUCACCACCACUAAUACCACCUUCCCGUAUCAAUACCAACACCAUCACUACUUCUUCUUAUACCAAAAUCACCAUUAACCACUUCUCCCUUCUCCCUCCCUUCUCUCUCCCUCCUCCCUUCCUCUCUUCUCAAACCUCCCUUCUCUCUCCUUCAUAAUUAUCUACCUUCUUCUCUCCCUUCCCUCCUUUAUCCCUGUCUCUCUCUUCCCAUUUUCCCUUUCUAAAUUAACCUAACGGAACUUUCCCACCAUCACCACCAUUAUCAUCAAGGACGUUAGGCCAUCAUCACCACCACCACCACCACCACCACUAACACCUUCCCCUAUCAAUACCAACACCAUCACUACUACUUAUUCUUACAUCAAAAUCAUCACCACUAUAAAACAUUCCACCACCACCACCUAACAACCAUCUUCAUC